GACGAACGCUGGCGGCGUGCCUAAUACAUGCAAGUAGAACGCUGAAGAGAGGAGCUUGCUCUUCUUGGAUGAGUUGCGAACGGGUGAGUAACGCGUAGGUAACCUGCCUUGUAGCGGGGGAUAACUAUUGGAAACGAUAGCUAAUACCGCAUAACAAUGGAUGACACAUGUCAUUUAUUUGAAAGGGGCAAUUGCUCCACUACAAGAUGGACCUGCGUUGUAUUAGCUAGUAGGUGAGGUAAUGGCUCACCUAGGCGACGAUACAUAGCCGACCUGAGAGGGUGAUCGGCCACACUGGGACUGAGACACGGCCCAGACUCCUACGGGAGGCAGCAGUAGGGAAUCUUCGGCAAUGGGGGCAACCCUGACCGAGCAACGCCGCGUGAGUGAAGAAGGUUUUCGGAUCGUAAAGUUCUGUUGUAAGUCAAGAACGGGUGUGAGAGUGGAAAGUUCACACUGUGAUGGUAGCUUACCAGAAAGGGACGGCUAACUACGUG
rnacentral:rRNA from 1 species